GCAAGUCGAACGGCAGCAUGACAGAGCUUGCUCUGUUGAUGGCGAGUGGCGGACGGGUGAGUAAUACUUAGGAAUCUAUCCAGUAGCUGGGGAUAACGUGUGGAAACGCACGCUAAUACCGAAUACGCACUACGGUGGAAAGAGGGGGAUCUUCGGACCUCUCACUAUUGGGUGAGCCUAAGCCGGAUUAGCUAGUUGGUGGGGUAAUGGCUUACCAAGGCGACGAUCAGUAGCUGGUCUGAGAGGAUGGAC
rnacentral:rRNA from 1 species